GCUUUCGUGGUGUAGUGGUCAGCACGCUCGGCGCAUAUUUGAGAGGCCCGUAGUUCGAAUCCUUGUGAAUGCA
rnacentral:tRNA from 1 species